rnacentral:rRNA from 1 species
AUUGAACGCUGGCGGCAGGCCUAACACAUGCAAGUCGAGCGGAUGAAGGGAGCUUGCUCCUGGAUUCAGCGGCGGACGGGUGAGUAAUGCCUAGGAAUCUGCCUGGUAGUGGGGGAUAACGUCCGGAAACGGGCGCUAAUACCGCAUACGUCCUGAGGGAGAAAGUGGGGGAUCUUCGGACCUCACGCUAUCAGAUGAGCCUAGGUCGGAUUAGCUAGUUGGUGGGGUAAAGGCCUACCAAGGAGACGAUCCGUAACUGGUCUGAGAGGAUGAUCAGUCACACUGGAACUGAGACACGGUCCAGACUCCUACGGGAGGCAGCAGUGGGGAAUAUUGGACAAAGGGCGAAAGCCUGAUCCAGCCAUGCCGCGUGUGUGAAGAAGGUCUUCGGAUUGUAAAGCACUUUAAGUUGGGAGGAAGGGCAGUAAGUUAAUACCUUGCUGUUUUGACGUUACCAACAGAAUAAGCACCGGCUAACUUCGUG